GGGGCUGUGGCGCAGUUUGGGAGCGCGCCUGAAUGGCAUUCAGGAGGCCGUCGGUUCGAACCCGAUCAGCUCCA
rnacentral:tRNA from 1 species